rnacentral:tRNA from 1 species
GCCAGAGAGGUGUAGUGGUUUGAAUAUUGGACUACGACUCUGGAGAUCAGGGUUCAGAUCCCUGCUUGGCCA